rnacentral:lncRNA from 1 species
AGGUGAAGGGGAAGAUGGACAAGGAGUGUAAUAUUUGAGCAAUAUCCCUAAUGUCAUAUUGAAUUAAAAAAAAGUGAGUAAAACUUAACUCAGAAAAUCUUUAUAUAGAUAUAGGAAGAUGUGGUAUGAGUGCCAAUGAGACAACUCUCCAUCCAAAUAACAAUUUAUAAGAGUAAACCUUUAUACGUCAAAGUACGGCCUUUAACACGGAGCCUUGGCUCACACCAAACAGCAAGCUAUAACUUAGGGCCCCAAAAAUUACUAAUGUAAAACCAUUAAUUCAAAUGGGAAAACCAACCGUCUAAUCUAUAUAAAAUAGUUAUCAAAGGUACCAGGAUUAUAAUUUAGUACGCCAGACGCGUGUUUCGUCUACAUAAGACUCAUCAGUGACGCUCAUAUCAAAAUAUUAUAAAGCCAAACAAGUACAAAGUUGAAGAGCAUUGAGGAUCCAAAAUUCCAAAAAGUUGUGCCAAAUACGAGUAUAUUUUUUUUUUUUUUACCAUUCAGAAAUCUUCCAAAGAAACAAAUCAAGAAAAAAUUGAUCAAAAUUAUAUUAUAAUGUCCAUAUAACACAAAUAUUUAAGGUAGAAUUCUGUUUAGCAUAUAUUUAUGUCAAUAUAAAAUUCUUGACAAUAAUGAAGGGAACAAAUAUAAAAUGAAAUAAACUCUGGUGCAUAGUUUUUUUAUUGGUAUUUUUUUAUUUCUAAAUACAAAUGUAACAAUCAUAUAUACUUUAAAUGUGUAACUGAAAUUAUGUUAUCUUCCCGUUUCAGUAAAGACAAACUUUUCCCAUUUUUUUAUUUUUUAAAGAGGAAAUUUUAUCACUGCACUACUAAAUGACAAAGUUUGAAAAAUCCAUUUAAGUAAAACCUCCUUCCCUUCAACUUAAUGACUUGACUCAUUUCAAAUAAUUCUAAAUAUAUUAUUCUAUGAAUAAACACUUAAAUUUAUACAUCAAAACUUAUUAAAUAUCCAACAAGGAAAAGUUGUUUGUAAUGAUUCUACAAAAGAUUAACUUCAUUAAAUCUGUGAAAAUAUUCUAUAACUAUUGAGUUAUCUCCCUUUAAUACUUAUAAUAUAUGUAUGUACAACCUAACUUGAAUAAUUCAGUGCCCACUAUCCACUACUUUUCUCAGUAGUGGAGUGAUCGUAGUGAUCGUAAUAUAACGAUUGGAUUAUUCGGGUUAAUGUACAACCAUACACUAAAAACUCUGCCACUCCAGUAGAUAUGUUAAUCUAUACUAUUAAACUAGAAGACCUCAUUUUGUGUGUCGCUUCUCUUCCUUCCACAAUAAAUCAAUCAUCAUGCCUCUGUGUCUAUAGGUACAUGCAUAGUCGCAUUUGUCAUCCAUUCUUAUGAUUAUUCAGGUUGAGUUAUUUAAUGAGAAAAAUGACAAAAAAGGAGUCCGGAUAUCAUUUCGUCAUCGGACUGACUUUUAGUCAUAGAUAAGACUUCCGGUUUGAAACCUUCACAAAUACAACCAAUCGUAUGAUAAAUAACAAAAAUGAAAAAUAAAUAAGCCAACAGAGCGUUCUCCAUACAUGUGUUUAGAUCGCAAGAACCACAAACUAUUACCACCUUAGAGAGGACAAUUAUUUUUCGCGUUUCAUAUCAUGGUGUUUUGAUCGCAAGAACCACAACCUUUAUACAUCCUUAGAGAGGACAAUUAUUUUUCGCGUUUCAUAUCAUGGUGUUUUGAUCGCAAGAACCACAAUUAUUAUACCUCCCUGGAGGGGACAAAUAUUUUUCGCGAUUAUCUACAUGUAAACUACGAUUAUACUACUUUAAUAUAUAGAGACUCUGUAUUCUGUCAGGGACUUUCUAUGUGAGUAUAGAAAGUCCCUGCUUCUGUCUACUGUUUUCUUUGAAAUGUUUACUAUUUAAGGGGUCAUACCACUUGCAUAUUUCUUAAAAUAAGUAAAACAUGCUCAACUUCAUCUAAAACUACCUUGACAAAAACUUUAACCUGAAGCGGGACAGACGACGGACGACCGAACGAACGCACGGAUGCACAGACUAGAAAACAUAAUGCCCAUAAAUGGGCAUAAAAAAUCUAUUGUUGAAAGGGAAAAUAGUGAUUGGCAAAAAAUGAAAGUAAGGUAGAGAUUAGAGGGAGGCAGGACCUUUUUUGGGGCGUCGGAUCGGGAUUUGGGGAGUGAACCUCACGGGAUCCGAGAAUAUAUUUUUCGAUUUUGGGAUUUCAGGAUAUGAAUUGCAUCUCCUUAUUACAUGGUUUUAAGCACGAGAUUUCGGGAUCAGGACCCCUCCGACAAACCCCUCGAAUUAGCCUUAGUUGGUCUUAGUCAUUUAUACAUGAUUCAUAUCCUACCAUUGGCAUGUUAAUAAGCCUCUCAAAAGAAAAAGAACUGAUGGAUUGUCCUUGAAGCAUAUUUUAUUAGACUAAUAAUGGUCUAUAUAUAAGCAGUUACAUUUAUUUCAUGUUUUAAACGGUUGCAAAUUUUAUUUUAUUUGACUUUUACCAAAAGAAGCAUUGUAUCAAAGGAGAAGAAUAGUUGUGGUCUGAGGCCAGAUGCACGAAAAUAAUUGAAUUUAACAGAAAGGAAACAAAUAUCGGACUUUGGGAGGGCUUUUGAUACCUUUUAUGAAAUUCUCCAUACAUAAUAUCUUUUACAAAAAUUCAUCCUACAACAGUUCACAAGCUGUAUAUGCCCGCGAUUUCGCGGGUGUGUUCUAGUAAUAAUUUUAAAAAAACUGUCCUUCCAAUAAUAUAUUGAUAAUUAAAUUAAAUAAAGUUUAGCCUGUCCCCAAUAAUAAUAAUAAAACUGUCAACUCAAAUUGAGUUAAUGAUAUGCAAUGAAAAUAAAAAAUGAAAUUAUGGAGGUAAUCAGCAAAUUAAAAAAAAACAUAAAAUAUUGGUAUAAGUUGUCAUUUAAGAGCCAUAACUCAUAUAAAGAGUCCACAAACAAUAUCAGCAAGAUUGACUUAUUUGUAGAUCUUGACUUGCGGAUCAUUUUUGCUAUCCAUGUUUCUAUCUAUUUAUUACAGUUAAUUCAAAAUAGUAGAUAAUAACACAUACAAUUAAUUGAAAAAAAUCGCAAUUAAAAGGUAAUAACUCCUAUUAGAAGCAUGAUCAUCUCUUUUGCCAUAUUAGGUUUCUCACUAUUGGUAAAAUUCAUCAUUUAAGGGAAAUUACUCCUAUAUGAAGUAGUCUGACAGCUUUGAUGUCAAUAGGUAGAUCUCAACCAUUCUGAACAAUUUUGCCAUCAGUUUUUUUUCAGAUUUUUAUCUUUCUAUAGCAGUAUUCAAGAUAAUAGACCAAACUUGCAUUCAACCCCUUCGUUCUAUUUUUAGACAUGUUGGUGCGCAGCUAACAUCCUCAGAUACAGUUUUUUAAAGUAGAAACCCCAAUAAUGAUUGUGAACAAGUUUGUUUUCGAUUGUCCAGUAGUUUCGAAGCAUAUUUUUAGUUAGCACAUGAUGACAACUAUGGACAAGUGUUAAGAAUAGCUAACUUGACCCUUCUGGUCAACAGUUUAUUUUUCAAAUCUUAGCCACCUUGAUAAAUCUUAGUGUGUUAAAUACCACCAAUCACUAAUCAAUCUUUAACAUACAGAUAACUAUAACUGUCUAAAUUUCUCUGAGACAAUUAAAAGUAAAGUAGACAUUUUUUUAUUUUUUUUUAGAGAGAUUUUAAGAGAAAAUCAUUGCUUACAAUUCCAAGGAUAAAAGAUUGUCUAGACAAUAACUCAGAACUAUCUAAAAACCAUUACAAAGUUAGAGAGAGAUCAUCUCGACAAUACUACAGAACCAUUAAGAAACCAUUACAAGCCUAGAGAGAGACUAUCUAGACAAUA